GAAAAACCUUACCCACCUUUGACAUGGCAGGAAGGCUCCAGAGAUGGGGCUGUGCUCGCAAGAGAACCUGCACACAGGUGCUGCAUGGCUGUCGUCAGCUCGUGUCGUGAGAUGUUGGGUUAAGUCCCGCAACGAGCGCAACCCUUGUCAUCAGUUGCUACGAAAGGGCACUCUGAUGAGACUGCCGGUGACAAACCGGAGGAAGGUGGGGAUGACGUCAAGUCCUCAUGGCCCUUAUGGGUGGGGCUACACACGUCAUACAAUGGCCGGUACAAAGGGCAGCCAACCCGCGAGGGGGAGCCAAUCCCACAAAGCCGGUCGUA
rnacentral:rRNA from 1 species